rnacentral:rRNA from 1 species
UGGGGAAUAUUGGACAAUGGGCGCAAGCCUGAUCCAGCCAUGCCGCGUGAAGGAUGAAGGUUUUCGGAUCGUAAACUUCUGUUGGGAGGGAAGAAAGGGCCCUGAAGAGGGGCAGAUGACGGUACCUCCUAAGCAAGCACCGGCUAACUCCGUGCCAGCAGCCGCGGUAAUACGGAGGGUGCAAACGUUGCUCGGAAUCACUGGGCGUAAAGCGCUCGUAGGCGGUUUGUCAAGUCAGAUGUGAAAUCCCCGGGCUUAACCUGGGAAGUGCAUUUGAAACUGGCAAGCUAGAGGUUGGGAGGGGGUAGCGGAAUUCCCGGUGUAGAGGUGAAAUUCGUAGAUAUCGGGAGGAACACCAGAGGCGAAGGCGGCUACCUGGACCAAUACUGACGCUGAGGAGCGAAAGCGUGGGGAGCAAACA